GAGGAACUCGAUUGCCUCCGACGAGGACACGUUCAGGUGCUUCGUGUACAAGGGGCAGCACGGCGAGCGCAGCAUGACGUACAAUAUCGCGCAGUCCGGCGACGCCACCUGCAACGGCCUCUCCUCGCCCACCGACGGCAGCCGCAUCAUGAAGCUCACCACCAGCGACGACGAGCACAACCGCUGCCACUUCCCCGCCUGGAUCGUUGAG